rnacentral:rRNA from 1 species
GCAAAACGCGAAGAACCUUACCAGGCCUUGACAUCCAAUGAACUUUCUAGAGAUAGAUUGGUGCCUUCGGGAACAUUGAGACAGGUGCUGCAUGGCUGUCGUCAGCUCGUGUCGUGAGAUGUUGGGUUAAGUCCCGUAACGAGCGCAACCCUUGCCAUUAGUUGCUACAUUUAGUUGAGCACUCUAAUGGGACUGCCGGUGACAAACCGGAGGAAGGUGGGGAUGACGUCAAGUCCUCAUGGCCCUUAUAGGUGGGGCUACACACGUCAUACAAUGGCCGGUACAAUAGGUUGCGAAGCGGCGACGCGGAGCCAAUCCAGGAAAGCCGGUCGUAGUUCGGAUUGCAGGCUGCAACUCGCCUGCAUGAAGCUGGAGUUGCUAGUAAACGCAGGUCAGCUAUACUGCGUUGAAUACGUUCCCGGGUCUUGUACACACCG